rnacentral:rRNA from 1 species
ACACUCCUACGGGAGGCAGCAGUGGGGAAUAUUGGACAAUGGGCGCAAGCCUGAUCCAGCCAUGCCGCGUGAGUGAUGAAGGCCCUAGGGUUGUAAAGCUCUUUCACCGGUGAAGAUAAUGACGGUAACCGGAGAAGAAGCCCCGGCUAACUUCGUGCCAGCAGCCGCGGUAAUACGAAGGGGGCUAGCGUUGUUCGGAUUUACUGGGCGUAAAGCGCACGUAGGCGGACUAUUAAGUCAGGGGUGAAAUCCCGGGGCUCAACCCCGGAACUGCCUUUGAUACUGGUAGUCUUGAGUUCGAGAGAGGUGAGUGGAAUUCCGAGUGCAGAGGUGAAAUUCGUAGAUAUUCGGAGGAACACCAGUGGCGAAGGCGGCUCACUGGCUCGAUACUGACGCUGAGGUGCGAAAGCGUGGGGAGCAAACAGGAUUAGAUACCCCUGUAGUCCCAUGA